GAUGAACGCUGGCGGCGUGCUUAACACAUGCAAGUCGAACGGAAAGGCCCCAGCUUGCUGGGGUACUCGAGUGGCGAACGGGUGAUUAACACGUGGGUGAUCUGCCCUGCACUUUGGGAUAAGCCGGGGAAACUGGGUCUAAUACCGAAUAUGACCACUGCUUGGUUGUUGGGGUGGAAAGACGUUGCGGUGUGGGAUGAGCCUGGGGCCUAUCAGCUUGUUGGUGGGGUAAUGGCCUGCCAAGGCGGCGACGGGUAUCCGGCCUGAGAGGGUGUACGGACACAUUGGGACUGAGAUACGGCCCAGACUCCUACGGGAGGCAGCAGUGGGGAAUAUUGCACAAUGGGCGCAAGCCUGAUGCAGCGACGCCGCGUGGGGGAUGAAGGCCUUCGGGUUGUAAACUCCUUUCGCUAUCGACGAAGCCACUUGUGGUGACGGUAGGUAGAUAAGAAGCACCGGUUAACUACGUGCCAGCCGCCGCUGUAA
rnacentral:rRNA from 1 species